rnacentral:rRNA from 1 species
GACGAACGCUGGCGGCGUGCUUAACACAUGCAAGUCGAGCGGUAAGGCCCUUUCGGGGGUACACGAGCGGCGAACGGGUGAGUAACACGUGGGUGACCUGCCCUUAGCUCUGGGAUAAGCCUGGGAAACUGGGUCUAAUACCGGAUAUGACUCCAUGACGCAUGUUGUGGGGUGGAAAGCCUUGUGCGGCUAGGGAUGGGCCCGCGGCCUAUCAGCUUGUUGGUGGGGUGAUGGCCUACCAAGGCGACGACGGGUAGCCGGCCUGAGAGGGCGACCGGCCACACUGGGACUGAGAC